UACGUAGGGGGCAAGCGUUGUCCGGAUUUAUUGGGCGUAAAGCGCGUGUAGGCGGCUGGGUAGGUCCGCUGUGAAAACUCGAGGCUCAACCUCGAGACGUCGGCGGAAACCAUCCAGCUAGAGUCCGGAAGAGGAGAGUGGAAUUCCUGGUGUAGCGGUGAAAUGCGCAGAUAUCAGGAAGAACACCCGUGGCGAAAGCGGCUCGCUGGGACGGUACUGACGCUGAGACGCGAAAGCGUGGGGAGCGAACAGG
rnacentral:rRNA from 1 species